rnacentral:rRNA from 1 species
UACGAAGGGUGCAAACGUUGCUCGGAAUUAUUGGGCGUAAAGCGCACGUAGGCGGCUUUUCAAGUCCCGUGUGAAAGCCCACGGCUUAACCGUGGAAGUGCAUGGGAAACUGGAAAGCUUGAGUACUUAAGAGGAUCGCGGAAUUCCCGGUGUAGAGGUGAAAUUCGUGGAUAUCGGGAGGAACACCAGUGGCGAAGGCGGCGAUCUGGGAAGAUACUGACGCUGAGGUGCGAAAGCGUGGGGAGCAAACAGG